GACGAACGCUGGCGGCGUGCCUAAUACAUGCAAGUCGAACGCAGUGGGGCCGGGUGAGUAACACGUGGGUAACCUCCCAUCAGAGGGGAUAACACUUGGAAACAGGUGCUAAACCGAUACUGAUGGAUGGACCCGCGGUGCAUUAGCUAGUUGGUGAGGUAACGGCUCACCAAGGCCACGAUGCAUAGCCGGCCUGAGAGGGGGAUCGGCCACACUGGGACUGAGACACGGCCCAGAGUCCUACGGGAGGCAGCAGUAGGGAAUCUUCGGCAAUGGACGAAAGUCUGACCGAGCAACGCCGCGUGAGUGAAGAAGGUUUUCGGAUCGUAAAACGCUGUUGUUAGAGAAGCGGUAACAAAAGAGAAAGCCACGGCUAACUACGUGCCAGCCGCCGCGGUAAUAG
rnacentral:rRNA from 1 species